AACGAACGCUGGCGGCAUGCCUAACACAUGCAAGUCGAACGAGACCUUCGGGUAUAGUGGCGCACGGGUGCGUAACGCGUGGGAACCUGCUCUUAGGUUCGGAAUAACCCCCCGAAAGGGGUGCUAAUACCGGAUAAUGUCUUCGGACCAAAGAUUUAUCGCCUUUGGAUGGGCCCGCGUUGGGUUAGCUAGUUGGUAGGGUAAAAGCCUACCAAGGCGACGAUCCAUAGCUGGUCUGAGAGGAUGAUCAGCCACACUGGGACUGAGACACGGCCCAGACUCCUACGAGAGGCAGCAGUGGUGAAUAAUGGACAAUGGGCGAGAGCCUGAUCCAGCAAUGCCGCGUGAGUGAUGAAGGCCUUAGGAUUGUAAAGCUCUUUUACCCGGGAUGAUAAUGACAGUACCGGAAGAAUAAGCUCCGGCUAACUCCUU
rnacentral:rRNA from 1 species